AAGCUUUUCUCAUUUAAUUUCACUUUUAUCUCCGUUUCCCCCCUCCCCCCCAAAAAAACCUGACAACUAUUGAAACAUAUUCAUCGAAUAUGUUUUUGUGUUCUUAUUGAACAAAUAUAUAUUUUUGCCAUGUUGGUGAUUGAACCCAGGGUUGCAGGUGUGAAAGACAAGUGCUCUACCAUUGAAUUACAUCCCUAGCUUUACAUUGAUGUUUUAUAUGUAUUUAUUUUUGCUACUGGGGAUCUAACCCAGGGUUGCUUUACUGUUGAGCAACCUCCCCAGUCCAUUUUUACUUUUUGAGAUAAAAUCUCAGUUGCUGAGGCUGACCUUGAACUUGGAAUCCUCCUGUCUCAGCCUCCCAAAUCACUGCAAUUACAGGUGUGUGCACUGCAUCCAGCUCCCAUAUAUACAUAUGUAUAAAUAUAUAUAAAUUAAUGUAUAUAAAUAGCAUAGCAUAUGUCUCUUGUUCUUUUUUUUAAAUUUUUUUUUAAAUAUUUAUUUUUUUUUAGUUCUUGGCGGACACAACAUCUUUGUAUGUGGUGCUGAGGAUCGAACCCGGGCUGCACACAUGCCAGGCGAGCGCGCUACCGCUUGAGCCACAUCCCCAGCCUCAUGUGUCUUGUUCUUUAUGAACUGGUUCUCAGCACUGUUUCAAGGAUUUACAUAUAGUGAAAAUAUGCAUCUAGUUCCUUCUAGUUAUAGGAUUUCAUGGUGUGCGUGCACCAUAUUUUCUCUAUCCACUCUUCCCAGUUUUGUGUGUAACUUUUCUUCCUGGCUUCUGUUUAUCUGGGCACCCAGAGCAUACUGAGAUUUGACCCUACUUAUAAGUCUAGUGGUGAUUGAAGGUGGUUGUGAUGGAUCCGGAGAAUAGUAUCUUCUUUCAAGGAGUCUUCCCAGGCAAGGUUAUCACAAAGGAAGACUUAUUGCCAGACAUUAAGGCAAGUCGCUUCUGUUUAUUGGUUGGGGAUUUAAAAUGACUUGAAGGUUCAAGACUCAGUUUCAGCUGGGUCUAUACAAACGUCUCCCAAGUUUCAGAGUACUAUUUCAUAUCAACCAAUGCUGUAUUUUACACGAGAGACUUGGCAAGACUUAAAUUCAACUGUCAUUAUAUUCAGCAUCCUUCACAGCUGAUUUUCAGCAGUACCAUCCCUGUGGCUAGAAGAAAUGAGCUUUUGUCAUGGAAGCUCCUUGAUUUUCAGACUGUGACUUGUGCUAAGGCUUAAUGGACUUGAGCUUGUAAUUUUUUCUUGGUAAGCACUCAAGUGAACUCAACAGAAUUUACUCAAUGUUACGGUCUUUAUAGUCAUCAUUCCUUUAUAACAGUGAAGUGCAGAAGUCACUUGGGUUCUCAAAGAAUGCACAAUUGUGAACUACAAUGAGAUAGUUUGAUUGUUUGUGAUGCUUCUGCAUGCCAAGGAUUACUAGUAGCCCAUUUCCCAUUUGUAAAAAGGUACUGUGCUCAAGACAAAAGAAUGAACAAAUCAAUACCCAAAUCCCAUUUCUGUGGAUCUGUUCUGCAUCUGUCCAGAGUCUUCUCUGGAUACCAAUUCAACAUCAGUCUGGGUUCAGUCAGGAGAAAGAAAUGACACAGUAUAUUGGAACAAGGAAGAUUUGACAAAGAAUUAUUAUGGGUAGGUAAUCACCUAGUGAAUAGAGAAUUCUAAAAAGUAUAGGAAUAAGCCAGGCACAGUGGUAAAUGCCUGUAAUCCCAACAGCCUGAGAUGCUGAGAUGGGAGGAUUGCACCUCACAAGUUUAAAAGUCAGCCUCUGCAAUUAGUGACUAAACAACUUAAUGAGACCCUGUGUCAAAAAGGGCUGGGGAUGUGACUCAAUGGUUAAGUGUAACUGGGUUCAAUCUUUGGUACCCCCCACCCCCCCACACACACAUAAAUGAAUGCCAGAUAGAAUAACCACAGCAUAUAUAGCUAUGAUGCAAUAACAACAGAAAUCACUGCUCCUAGGACUGAAGAGUACCCAAGGAAGAAGGAACACACACAAGUAUCCAAAGAAUACCCUUCCAGGGCUGUGAUACAGGGUCCAAGGAAGAGUCAGGGCCAAAAAUAACUGGAGAGGCAAGGCUGUGCCUUGUUGAAGAGUAGACCCAGUGGUGCCACAAUUGACAGAACUUACUAUAAACUGUCCUCUGGAGUGCCGGAGAAACUACAUUGGAAGGUGUCUCACCAGAAGUGCCGAGCUAUAAUAAAUGCUCAAAGACUGGGGAAGCUGCAAGCACUCUAGAGGCUGGAGAGACUACCCCCACUGCAGAAGCCCAACUUGAGAAUUGUCACAUGCUGGAACCAGGAAGUAUAACCUUCCUCUGCAGUCUCACUAAUUAAUAGUAUUUAGGGACAAAACCUGGCAUCUUGCCAAUUGGCAAAAUAUUUUUAAAGGGCUUAGAUUUCAUUUUCAUGGAGCAAGAAAAAGAAUUUAGAGUUCAGAGGUAAUGACCGGUAUGAUGGCUAAUGGUGGCCUCAAACAAACUGAAUUAGGAAAUGUUUUUUUUUUUUUCUCUGUGAAUUUUUUUUUUUUUUGUACCAGGGAUUGAACCCAGGGGUGCUUACCCAGUGAGCCACAUCUCCAGCCCUUUUUAAAAUAUUUUAUUUAGAGACAGGGUCACGCUGAGUUUCUUUAAGACUUUGCUGAGGCUGGCUUUGAACUCAAAAUCCUGCCUCAGCCUUUUGAGCCACUGGGAUUAUAGGUGCCUGACUAUUUUUUUCCUGUGAGUUUAAGAUUGUUAUUUUCUUUUUUCCUUAAAUGUCAGAAUUCACUAAUGAAAUCCUCUAGGCCUGCAAUUUUCAUUGUGGGAAGAUAUUUUUAUGUUGCAUAUUUAGGUUUAGGUCUUUGAGUUUUUCUAAUCCCUUUUGUGUCCUCUGUAGGCAAGAUUCCGUAAUGGCCUUUUCUGGUUUCCCUUCCUUUAUCAUCAAUACUUGGUAUGAUUUGUCACAAACCUGUGAUACUUGGUAAAAGGGAUUUUGAAGAUAAAAGUUACCAAUCCGUUUGAAUUACUCAAAAGAGAGAUUAUCUGGUGCUAUGACUUGAAUGUUUGUGUCCCCUCCAAAAUUCAUGUUGAAACUUAAUCCUCAAAGCACCAGUUUUUGACAAGCCUUAUGGGCAGAAAUGCUUCAUCUACUAUAAAAGGAGGAAAAGCAAAGAAUGUGAGUGUACAAAGCCAGGGGUGUUGGCACAUACCUAUAAUCCAAGCAAUUUAGGAGGCUGAGGCAGAGGGAUCACAAGUUCAGGGACAGUCUGAACAAUUUAGUGAGACCCUGUUUUAAAACAAAGAGGACUGGGGAUAUAGGUCAGUGGUAGGAGUACCGCUGGGUUCAAUCCCCAGUACUGUGUGUGCAUGUGCGUAUAAUUAGAAUGUGGGUGUGCAUUUUGAAAUUUGGUAGAUUUAAUUGUAGGACAAUAAGGAAAAUUUUUAAUUGUUUUUUAUUCUUUAUACAUGACAGUAGAGUGUAGUUUGAUAUACAUGGAGUAUAACUUAUUCUAAUUAGGAUCCCAUUCUUGUGGUUGUACAUGAUGUAGAGUUUACUGGUCAUAUAUUCAUAUAUUACUGGUUUUAGUUGUGUAGUAAGCUGAGAGUGAGCAGGAUGGAGGGAUGGAAGUCUAAGGAGAGUUAGUAAAAGUCAUUUUGAAAAGUUACAAAUUGAACAAACUAGAGGAGUAUUUGGUACUGUUGAUUCCCACUUGAGAUUUAUAUCAUAAAUUUAUAGAGAAACCAGUCAGCAUGCUUGUGUAUUUUCCUCCAGCAACAUUACUGCUUGAGUGCAGGAGUAGGUCCCAUGAAUGAAGUAUUCAGUGAGGAAGAAGUAAAUCCCCCCAAAUAAGCUGAUGUAUCAAGAAAAGGCAGGGUGGACAUGGAACAGUAAAAUCAACAAUAAUGAAAAUCCAGUACACUGCAGCAUCCACAUACCACCCCAUUUCCUUGUUCUCCUUUACAAUACAACUAUGCUGUCGCAAGUUCUUCCUCUUACAUCCUUUUUAAUCCACUUCAUUCACAUGUUGACUCAUCACUCCACUGAAACUGCUCUUGUCAAGGUCACCAGUGACCUACAUAUGGCUAAAUCAACUCUAAUCUUCACUUGACCCUCAGCAGCAUUUUACUCAAUUGUUUCACUCCUUCCUCACUGAUAGAAUUCAUUUGGAUUUCAGGAUACCACAUUUUCUUAGUUUUUCUUUUACCUUCCUGGUCAAUCUUUUGUGGAUCCUUUUCCCUAACCUCAUACCAUAGGACUGCCCCAAAGCACAGUCCUUAGUUCUCCUUUCUGCAUGUGCUGCCUAAGUGUUCUCAUCUAGUUUCUUAGCUUUAUAUGUCAUCUAUGCACCUGUAAAUCCCUAUCAACUAUCUCAGACCUCUUCUCUAGCUCCAGACUCAUAUUGACAUCAUUGAAUGUCUACAUCUCAAAGGCAAUGGCUCAAAAAAAUUUUUUUGGUAGUACUGGGGAUUGAACAAAGGAAUGCUCUACCAUUGAGCUACAUCCCAAGCCUUUUUUAUUUUUGGUACUAGGGAUUGAACCCAAGGACAUUUUACCACUGAACCAUAUCCCUAGCCCUCCCCCACACUUUUUGGGUACCAGGGAUUGAACUCGGGGGCACUCAACCACUGAGCCUCAUCCCCAGCUCUAUUUUGUAUUUUAUUUAGAGACAGGGUCUCACUGAGUUGCUGAGUACUUCACUUGUGUUGAAGUUGGUUUGAAUUGCCGAUCCUCCUGCCUCAGCCUCCCAAGUCACUGGGAUUACAGGCAUACACCACCAUGCGUAGCAUGAGUUCAAAACUUCUUUCCCCCCGAACUCUUCAAAUGUUGGCAAAAAUCUUUAGGGUAAUCGUUGACUCAUCUUUCUUACAUAUUACAUCUAAUUUGACAGGAAAUUUUAUGUGAUCCUCCUUAAAAAUAUAUCCAGAAUUCUACCACUUCUCACUAUUACCAUUGCUACUAUCAUAGUUAAAGCCACUACCCUUCCUUAUCUACUCUUUCAACAUUCUUUUCAACAUUCUUCAGACUGGUCUUUUUCUUGCCCCCUAACCCCCAACCAUUUUAAAAGCAGUAACCAGCCUAAGUGGUCCUUAAAAAUAUAUCACUUCUUUGCUAAAAACUUAACAAUUACUCCUCAUUUCUUUCAGAAUAAAAGCCAGCAUCUUUACAAUGACUUUCAGGGCCCUUAAUAAUCUGUAACAUUAUCUGCUAUUAUCCCCCACCCCACUUACUGACUUUAGUACAGCCAUUCUUGUUUUCUUGGUGUUCCUAAACUACUCAGGUACUCUGUGGCCCUAGGGGUUUUGCUCUGGCUAUUCUCUCUUCUUGAAUCAAUCUGCUUCCCAGAUACCUACUUGACUACUUUCUUGUUUCCUGAGUCUACUCACGUCUUGCCUCAAUGAGGCCUACAAUAACUGUCCUAUUUAAUACUGCAGCCUGUCCAUUCCCUUUUAUAUCAUGCUCAGUAUGCCUGAAACUCCAUCACCCUACUCUAGUUAUGUUACCCUAUAACUCUUACCACAUUUUUUUUUUUAAAGUUUAAUUACUAUUACAAAGUUUUUUUUUUUUUAAAGAGAGAGUGAGAGAGUGAGCGAGAGAAAGAGAAAGAGAGAGAAUUUUUCAACGUUUAUUUUUCAGUUCUCGGCGGACACAACAUCUUUGUUGGUAUGUGGUGCUGAGGCUCGAACCCGGGCCGCACGCAUGCCAGGCGAGCGCGCUACCGCCUGAGCCACAUCCCCAGCCCCUAACUCUUACCACAUUUUUAAUGUAAUAUUUGCUAUGGUUAGGUAUAGUUCAAGUAUGUCCCCCAAGAUUUUAUGUGGGGGAACUUGGUCCUCAGUGUGGUAGUAUUGGGAGAUGGUGUAGCACCUUUAAGAGGUAGGGUCUGGUUAAAACUAAUUAGGUUAUUGGGGGCACCGCUUGGAAGGAAUUGAUGUAAUUCUUGUGGGACCCUGGUUCAUUCUCAUCAGAGAGUUGUUAUAAAACAGCAAGACUGACUUCUCAUUUAUUUUCUGGCUUCUUGUCAUUCCAUGUCAUCUCUUGUGUGUGCUUCCACUAUGAUACUAUCAGUUUUGAGGCCCUCACCAUAGUUAGCAACAUGCUUCUUGGACUUUCAGACUCCAAACCUGUGAGCUAAAUAAACGCUUUUCUUUAUACAUUACCCAGUCUUGGGCAUUUUGUUAAAGCAAUGAAAAAUGGACUGAUACACUACAUAAUUUACCUAUUUUUGUAUCCAUUGUUUAUUCUCUCACUUUCCUGGUUAGUACAUAAUCUCUAUGAGAUCAGUGAUCUAUUUUUUUUUUUUUUUAAAUUGAUGUAUCCCCAAAGCCUAAAAUGGUGCCUGGUACAUAGUAGAAGUUAGACAAAUACGUGUUAAAAAAUGAAUGCAUACACUUUAUCCUCCAUACGUAUUUCAAAAAUGUCAUUGCCUAAUAGUUUUACAAUCCCAAAUGUGCUGCUCUGUUGCCACCCCAAAGAAAGAUAAACCAAUAUUUUGUGAAUAAUUACAUACAACUACAAGGGCAGAAUCUCUGGAAUCUUUUUUUUAGAGAACUUUUUAAUAUUUAUUUUUUUAGUUUUCGGUGGACACAACAUCUUUAUUUUAUUUUUAUGUGGUGCUGAGGAUCAAACCCAGUACCGCGUGCAUGCCAGGCAAGCGCUCUACCGCUUGAGCCACACCCCCAGCCCAGAAUCUCUGGAAUCUUACCACCAAAUGUUCCAACACAUGGAGUAAACUUGUUAAAUUUAUCCCCAACAUUAUACAUCAAAUAUUGGGAAAAAAGAAAACCAGAGUAUGAUAUAGUAAGGGAGAGAAUUUAAUUGGAGUCCACAAUCCUUGCUUAGUUAACUAGUCAC
rnacentral:lncRNA from 1 species